rnacentral:rRNA from 1 species
AGUGAACGCUGGCGGUAGGCCUAACACAUGCAAGUCGAACGGCAGCACAGUAAGAGCUUGCUCUUACGGGUGGCGAGUGGCGGACGGGUGAGGAAUACAUCGGAAUCUACUUUUUCGUGGGGGAUAACGUAGGGAAACUUACGCUAAUACCGCAUACGACCUACGGGUGAAAGCAGGGGAUCUUCGGACCUUGCGCGAUUGAAUGAGCCGAUGUCGGAUUAGCUAGUUGGCGGGGUAAAGGCCCACCAAGGCGACGAUACGUAGCUGGUCUGAGAGGAUGAUCAGCCACACUGGAACUGAGACACGGUCCAGACUCCUACGGGAGGCAGCAGUGGGGAAUAUUGGACAAUGGGCGCAAGCCUGAUCCAGCCAUACCGCGUGGGUGAAGAAGGCCUUCGGGUUGUAAAGCCCUUUUGUUAGGAAAGAAAAGCAGCAGGUUAAUACCCCGCUGUUCUGACGGUACCCAAAGAAUAAGCACCGGCUAACUUCGUG